rnacentral:rRNA from 1 species
GAUGAACGCUGGCGGCGUGCCUAAUACAUGCAAGUCGAGCGAACAGACGAGGAGCUUGCUCCUCUGACGUUAGCGGCGGACGGGUGAGUAACACGUGGAUAACCUACCUAUAAGACUGGGAUAACUUCGGGAAACCGGAGCUAAUACCGGAUAAUAUAUUGAACCGCAUGGUUCAAUAGUGAAAGACGGUUUUGCUGUCACUUAUAGAUGGAUCCGCGCCGCAUUAGCUAGUUGGUAAGGUAACGGCUUACCAAGGCAACGAUGCGUAGCCGACCUGAGAGGGUGAUAGGCCACACUGGAGCUGAGACACGGUCCAGACUCCUACGGGAGGCAGCAGUAGGGAAUCUUACGCAAUGGGCGAAAGCCUGACGGAGCAACGCCGCGUGAGUGAUGAAGGUCUUCGGAUCGUAAAACUCUGUUAUUAGGGAAGAACAAAUGUGUAAGUAACUAUGCACGUCUUGACGGUACCUAAUCAGAAAGCCACGGCUAACUACGUG